rnacentral:misc_RNA from 1 species
GCGUUUACAACAAUGCCUUAUAUAUAAUGGAAAUUUUCCACCAGUAAAUACCAAUUAUUGAUGUUCAACAAUCUGGCUCCAUGCUAUCUAAUGUCCGCAACAAAAUAUUCUCAUCUACCUCUCCCUCAGCUCACGUUCAAACUCAAGCAACUUUUCACGGAUUGGUGCCAAAAAAGACGACCUCACAUCUUUCACAAUCCGCAUCUUCUCCUCCGACCCAA